UGAAUACGAGACGCUAAGGCGUCGAAGUAGUGUAUGUCAUACUUCCAAGAAAAGCUUGCACUGUCAUAGAUAAAAAACGCCUGUACCAUAACCGACACAGGUGGGUAGGUAGAGUAUACUAAGGGGCGCGAGAUAACUCUCUCUAAGGAACUCGGCAAAAUAACUCCGUAACUUCGGGAGAAGGAGUGCCUUAUUCGUAAGGUUGCAAUAACAAGAUCCAAGCAACUGUUUAUCAAAAACACAGGUCUCCGCUAAGUCGUAAGACGAUGUAUGGGGGCUGACGCCUGCCCAGUGCCAGAAGGUUAAAGAAGUUGGUUAGCAAUUGCGAAGCUGAUAACUGAAGCCCUGGUGAACGGCGGCCGUAACAAUAACGGUCCUAAGGUAGCGAAGUUCCUUGUCGGGUAAGUUCCGACCCGCACGAAAGGCGUAAUGAUUUGGAUACUGUCUCGGAGAGGGGCUCGGUGAAAUAGACUUGUCUGUGAAGAUGCGGACUACCUGCACCAGGACAGAAAGACCCUAUGAAGCUUUACUGUAACUUGAAAUUGAAAUUGGACUUUAUUCGCGCAGUAUAGGUGGGAGGCGUUGAUUAUAAUCUUGUGGGAUUAUUGGAGCCAUCAGUGAGAUACCACUCUUGUAAUGUUAGAUUUCUAACUUUGAAUCAUUAUCUGGUCAAAGAACAGUUUCAGGCGGGCAGUUUGACUGGGGCGGUCGCCUCCUAAACGGUAACGGAGGCGUACAAAGGUUUCCUCUGAACGGUUAGAAAUCGUAUCUAGAGUGUAAAGGCAUAAGGAAGCUUGACUGUGAGACCUACAAGUCGAGCAGGGACGAAAGUCGGUCUUAGUGAUCUGACGGUACUGAGUGGAAAGGCCGUCACUCAACGGAUAAAAGUUACUCUAGGAUAACAGGCUGAUCUCCCCCAAGAGUUCACAUCGACGGGGAGGUUUGGCACCUCGAUGUCGGCUCAUCGCAUCCUGGGGCGGUAGUACGUCCCAAGGGUUGGGCUGUUCGCCCAUGAAAGCGGUACGCGAGCUGGGUUCAGAACGUCGUGAGACAGUUCGGUCCUUAUCCGGUGUAGGCGUUAGAAUAUUGAGAGGAGCCUUCUUUAGUACGAGAGGACCGAGAAGGACAUACCUCUGGUGUACCAGUUAUCGUGCCAACGGUAAACGCUGGGUAGCUAUGUAUGGAGUGGAUAACCGCUGAAAGCAUCUAAGUGGGAAGCCCACCUCAAGAUAAGUAUUCUC
rnacentral:rRNA from 1 species